rnacentral:rRNA from 1 species
CAGCAGCCGCGGGAAUACGAGGGGGGCAAGCGUUGUUCGGAUUUAUUGGGCGUAAAGGGUGCGUAGGCGGUUUGGCAAGUCUUGUGUGAAAUCUUCGGGCUCAACCCGAAGCCUGCACGAGAAACUACCGGGCUUGAGUAUUGGAGAGGUGAGUGGAAUUUCCGGUGUAGCGGUGAAAUGCGUAGAUAUCGGAAGGAACACCUGUGGCGAAAGCGGCUCACUGGACAAUAACUGACGCUGAUGCACGAAAGCUAGGGGAGCAAACAGGAUUAGAUACCCGCGUAGUCCCUGUCUCUUAUAC